GGAUAUGAGGGCGAUCUGACUGCCUGUCACCCCAUUGAUUGCCAGGGUUGAUUUGGCUGAUCUGGCUGUCUAGUCGGAUGUCACUUUCCUCCCUCACUGCUCCAUUUUCAUCCCUCCCAAAGCUGUGCCCUCAUUUGAAGAGGACGACCUUCCUCAAAUAGAGAAUUUAGUCAAGGGUAUAAAAAUCACUGUGCUCCCUGCUAGAACCUCCAAACAAGCUUCCCACAUUUCUAAGUGCUAUAGCUAGGCACCAUUUUGAGAGCAGACCUAUUUGAGACUGAGCUACUC
rnacentral:snRNA from 1 species